AACGAACGCUGGCGGCAUGCCUAACACAUGCAAGUCGAACGAGACCUUCGGGUCUAGUGGCGCACGGGUGCGUAACGCGUGGGAACCUGCCCUUAGGUUCGGAAUAACUCCCCGAAAGGGGUGCUAAUACCGGAUAAUGUCUUCGGACCAAAGAUUUAUCGCCUUUGGAUGGGCCCGCGUUGGAUUAGCUAGUUGGUAGGGUAAAAGCCUACCAAGGCGACGAUCCAUAGCUGGUCUGAGAGGAUGAUCAGCCACACUGGGACUGAGACACGGCCCAGACUCAUACGGGAGGCAGCAGUGGGGAAUAUUGGACAAUGCGCGAAAGCCUGAUCCAGCGAUGCCGCGUGAGUGAUGAAGGCCUUAGGGUUGUAAAGCUCUUUUACACGGGAUGAUAAUGACAGUGCCGGGAGAAUAAGCUCCGGCUAACUCCGUG
rnacentral:rRNA from 1 species